rnacentral:rRNA from 1 species
GACGAACGCUGGCGGCGUGCUUAACACAUGCAAGUCGAACGAUGACUCCCGAUCUCGCUCUGUCUGCUCAGUGGCGUACGGGUGUGUAACACGUAAGCAACCUUCCCUUCACUCUGGGAUAACCUCGGGAGAUCGGUGCUAAUACCGGACAGGAGCUCCUGUCGCAUGGCGGUUGUUGGAACGUUUUUCGGUGGAGGAUGGUCGCGCGGCUUAUCCGUUUGUUGGGGAGGUAGUGGCUCACCAAGGCGAGGACGGGUAGCCGGCCUGAGAGGGCGACCGGCGACACUAGGACUGAGACAGGGCCCAGACUCCUACGGGAGGCAGCAGUGGGGAAUAUUGCAGAAUGGGCGAAAGUCUGAGGCAGAGACGCCGCGUGCGUGAUGACGGCCUGCGGGUGGUAAAACUCUUUCAGCAGGGAAGAAGCGGAAGUGACGGUACCUGCAGAAGAAGCGCCGGCUAACUACGUG